rnacentral:rRNA from 1 species
AAUGAACGCUGGCGGCAGGCUUAACACAUGCAAGUCGAGCGAGCGGAGGACGGGUGAGUAAUGUCUGGGAAAAUGCCUGAUGGAGGGGGAUAACUACUGGAAACGGUAGCUAAUACCGCAUACCAUCAGAUGUGCCCAGAUGGGAUUAGCUAGUAGGUGGGGUAAUGGCUCACCUAGGCGACGAUCCCUAGCUGGUCUGAGAGGAUGACCGGCCACACUGUAACUGAGUCACGGUACAGACUCUCACGGUGGGCAGCAGUGGGGAAUAUUGGACAAUGGUCGAAAGCCUGAUGCAGCGAUGCCGCGUGUGUGAAGAGGGCUUUCGGGUUUUAAAGCACUUUCAGCGAGGAGGCGUUACUCGCAGAAGAAGCACCGGCUAACUCCGUGCCAGCAGCCGCGGUAAUUC